rnacentral:lncRNA from 1 species
AUCCCUGAAGCGGGGCAGCUAGGCGGAGGGACCGGAAGUCCGGAGGCCACAGACCCCCGGAUGCAGCUGCGGCGGAAGGCGCGUCCUGUUGGCUACUCCCGGUUUUCCUCUGCGUUUCUCCGCCUCGGAGACGCCGCAGUAAUAACGGGCCCACCAGCUACUGACGAGCUCACUCAGAGAUGCUUUACUUGCGCACACCUAACUAAUUGCCCUGUAAGGACGAUAGCUGUGAGUAGGCCUUGUACCUGUGGAACCAAGGAAACGUCUGUAAGUGGCCCUAGGUUCCGAGCUCCUUCUUGGAAGAGUCAGUAUUAACACUAGCCUGCGUGAAAGCCCACUCUUCCACGAAUACGUAUAUAUUAAAUAUAUGGAAAUAGAGAGGGGAGUGGUGGCGCACGACUUUAAUCCCAGCCCUGGUGUAGUCUACAGAGCGAGUUCCAGAGCAGCAAGGGAAGAUAACCCCUGUCUCAAACAAACAAAAAGAAAAAAGUCAUAUAUGUAUGUAUGGGGCUCUUGUGAGUUUUGCUUGAAUACCUUCAGUACUUUAAAGAAUAAAAACUUAAUGGGCUGGAAAGAUGG